GUUUCCGUAGGUGAACCUGCGGAAGGAUCAUUACCACACCUAAAAAAACUUUCCACGUGAACCGUAUCAACCCUUUUAGUUGGGGGUGUUGCUUGGCGUUUUUGCUGAGCCACGCCCUAUCAUGGCGAAUGUUUGGACUUCGGUCUGGGCUAGUAGCUUUUUUGUUUUAAACCCAUUUAACAAUACUGAUUAUACUGUGGGGACGAAAGUCUCUGCUUUUAACUAGAUAGCAACUUUCAGCAGUGGAUGUCUAGGCUCGCACAUCGAUGAAGAACGCUGCGAACUGCGAUACGUAAUGCGAAUUGCAGGAUUCAGUGAGUCAUCGAAAUUUUGAACGCAUAUUGCACUUCCGGGUUAGUCCUGGGAGUAUGCCUGUAUCAGUGUCCGUACAUCAAACUUGGCUUUCUUCCUUCCGUGUAGUCGGUGGAGGAUGUGCCAGAUGUGAAGUGUCUUGCGGUUUUUGUGCCUUCGGGCCAUGGCUGCGAGUCCUUUGAAAUGUACUGAACUGUACUUCUCUUUGCUCGAAAAGCGUGGUGUUGCUGGUUGUGGAGGCUGCCUGCGUGGCCAGUCGGCGACCGGUUUGUCUGCUGCGGCGUUUAAUGGAGGAGUGUUCGAUUCGCGGUAUGGUUGGCUUCGGCUGAACAGGCGCUUAUUGUAUGCUUUUCCUGCUGUGGCGUGAUGGGCUGGUGAACCGUAGCUGUGUGUGGCUUGGCUUUUGAAUCGGCUUUGCUGUUGCGAAGUAGAGUGGCGGCUUCGGCUGUCGAGUGUCGAUCCAUUUUGGGAACGUUUGUGUGCGCUUUCGAGUGUGCAUCUCAAUUGGACCUGAUAUCAGGAAGAUACCGCUGAACUUAAC
rnacentral:rRNA from 1 species